AUUAGCUUAUUUUAUUUUUAGAAUUUUUUUAUUGCUUAUUAAAGGAGAAGCUAGUG
rnacentral:tRNA from 1 species